AUCAUGAGCAGUUCCUUUCCUUCUCCAUACAUUUCUCUUCCCAUCACUCUGGUACAAGUUGAUCUUUGUCUCAUCUGUCCAUAGGAUGUUGUUCCAGAACUGUGAAGGCUUUUUUAGAUGUUACUAGGCAAACUCUAAUCUGGCCUUCCUGUUCUUGGGGCUCACCAAUGGUUUACAUCUUGUGGUAAACACUGUAUUCACUCUGGUGAAGUCUUCUCUAGAUUGUUGACUUUGACACACAUACACCUAUCUCCUGGAGAGUGUUCUUGAUCUGGCCAACUGUUGUGAAGGGUGUUUUCUUCACCAGGGAAAGAAUUCUUCGGUCAUCCACCACAGUUGUUUUCUGUGGUCUUACGGGUCUUUUGGUGUUGCUGAGCUCACCGGUGCGUUCUUUCUUUUUAAGAAUGUUCCAAACAGUUGAUUUGGCCACACCUAACGUUUUUGCUAUCUCUCUGAUGGGUUCGUUUGGAUUUUUCAGCCUAAUGAUGGCUUGCUUCACUGAUAGUGACAGCUCUUUGGAUCUCAUAUUGAGAGUUGACAGCAACAGAUUCCAAAUGCAAAUAGCACACUUGAAAUGAACUCUAGACCUUUUAUCUGCUUCUUGUAAAUGGGAUAAUGAGGGAAUAACACACAUCAAGCCAUGGAACAGCUGGGCAGCCAAUUGUCCCAUUACU